CAUUCCGCGACAGACGUGGUCGGCGUCUUCCCUGGGGGCGACGCUCCUUUUCCUCAGGGAGGAGCGGGAGGCGCCAUGGCGGCUUCGGGACCGCGUGGCCCUCGUUCCUGAAGGAGGAGGACGCUCCUCGCUCGCUGUCUGAGAUCCAAGUCACUUUCUGACACUGAGAGUAAACAAGGGGAAACGCCUUAUAGCCAUUUGAAUAUGUUCAGCCAUGAAGUGAAACAGACUCACUGAAUUCUGAGUCCUGAGAGACAGUGACCCAGACACAGCCCUACCAGCCCUGACAACCACCACUCUGUUCUUUGUGUGAAUUCGGCUGUUUUUAGAUUACACGUGUAAGUGAAAUCAUGCAGCUCUACUUUUUCUUUUUUCACAGUCUGCAGUGUGUUGAUUUGAUCCACUUACAUACAGCAAUGUGAUCACAAACAGAUUUAACACCUCUCACAUGACUCACAAGUAUAAUUUUCUUUAUUUUUUGUGGCAAGAAUAUUCACAAGAUAGUACCUUAGGAACUUUGGAGACUGGUACAGCACUGUAGUCUGUAAUCACUGUGCUGUGCAUUUGAUCUGCAUGACUUAUUUAUCUUCUGGUUGCACAUUUGUACCCUUUAACAUCUCCCCAUUUCCUCCACCCCGACACCUAGUUACCACCAUUUUACAAUUUGUUUCUAAGUGUUUGCUUGCUUGUUUUUUGUUUGUUCGUUUGUUUUUGUAUAUCUGAUAUCUUACGUUUGUUUUUUCUCUGUUUAUUUCAUCUCACCAAGCAUAAUACCCUCAAGGUCAAUCUGUAAUAUCACAAAUGGCAGAAAUUCCUUCUUUCAUAAUGCAGAAUAAUAUUCCAUUGUAUGUCAAUGUCAUUUCUUCUUUAUCCAUUCUUUCAUUGUUAGACACUCAGGUCAUUUCCAUAUCUUGGCUAUUGUGAAUAAUGUUGUAAUAAACAUGCGAAUGCACCUAUCUUUUCAAUACCCUGUUUUCACUUCCUUCAGAUGCACACCAGGAAGGAGGACUGCUGGAGCAUAUGGUAGCUCUUUUUAAUUUUUGGGUAACCUCUAUAGCUUUUCCAUAGUGCUUGAACCAGGUUACAUCCCCACCGACAGUGUACAGGGGUUUUCUUUUAUCCUCAUCCUGGCCAGCACUGUCUCUUGUCUUCUUGGUGAUGGCCUUUCUGACAGGAGGGAGGGGAUAUCUCAUUCCACUUUCAAUUUUCAUUUCCCUAAUUGUUAGUCAUGUUGAAUAUCUUUUCAUGUACAUUUUGUGUAUUUGGGUGUCUUCUUUGGAAAAAUAUAAAUUUAGAUUCACUGCCCAUUUUUUAUAUUGGAUUUUCUACUCUUUUUUUCUUUUUUUUUUUUUUGCUAUUGUGUUAUAUGAGGUCUACAUAUAUUUUGAUAUUAACCCUCCAUCCAAUAUAUGAUUUGCAAAAAUUCUCUCCUACUCUAUAUUAGGCUUUAUAUUUUGCUGAUUAUGUCUUUUGCUGUGCAGGAUCUUUUUAGUUUGAUGUAGUCCCACCUGUUGAUAUUUGCUUUUCUGGCUUGUGUUUUGGGGUCAUACCCCAAAAUUAUUACCCAAACCAGAGUUAAGUAUCUUCUUCUCUAUGUUUUCCUCUAGGAGUUUUAAAGUAUGAGGUCUUACAUUUCAGUCAUUAAUCCAUUUUAAAUUAUAUUUGUGAGUAGCGGAAAGUAGGUUUCCAAUUUCAUUUUUCUGCUUGUGGUUUUCCAAUCUUCCCAGCAACAUUUAUUGAAGAUGCUAGAGUUUCCUCAUUCAAAAUAGCAUUAAAACCAAUAAAAUACCUAAGAAUACACUUUACUAUGGAAGUGAAAAAUUUGUACUUUGAAAACUAUAAGACUUCUAUGGAAAAAAUUGAAGAAGACAAAACAAGUGGAAAGAUACACUGGGCCAGAAGUAUGGCUAAUGGAACAGAAGAAUUAAGGUUAAAAUGUCCAUAAUACCCAAAGCCAUUUACAGUUUCAGUGCAAUUUCUAUCAAUAUUCCAACAGCAUUUUUUACACAUGGAGAGAAAUCAAUCUUAAAAUUUUUUUAUGUGACUACCAGUGACCCAGACACCAGAGCAAUCCUGGGAAAGAACAAAUUGGGAGUCAUCACACUUCCUGAUUUAGAACUAAAUCACAAUGCUACAGUAUGAGACACAAUGAUAUUGGUAUUAAAAUACACACAUGGUUUAAAUUAACAGUAUAGAGGACCCAGUAGUAAACCCCUGUAUACUAGGUCAACUACUAUUUGAGAUGGAAGUAAAACACGUUCAGUGGGCAAAGGAUAGUCUCUUUGACAAAUGGUGCUUGGACACCUGGAUACUACUUUUAAUUUUUGACAGAAAUUCCAUACUGCUUUUCCUAGUGGCUGUGGUUAUUUACAUUUUUACCAACAACACACAAGGAUUUUCUUCACAUCCCUUCCAAUCCUUGUACUCACCUGUCUUUUUUGACUGUAGCCAUUGUAACAGUUGUGAUAAGGUCUCGUGGUUUUGAUUUGCAAUUCCCUGAUGAUUAAUGACAACCUUUUCAUGUUGGACAUUUGUACGUUUUCUUAAGGAAAAUGUCUAUUC